UUGGUCGUCGUGGAUAAGUUCUCCAAAUACAGCCAUUUCCUACCAUUGUCGCAUCCAUUCUCUGCUUCCCAAGUGGCAACUACUUAUGUGGAUCAAGUUUACAGACUGCAUGGACUACCAGAUUCUAUUCUAUCCGACCGAGAUACAAUCUUUACAAGCAGAUUCUGGCAAGAGCUCUUUCGGCAAACCCAAACAACCCUUCGGAUGAGCACACCAUAUCACCCGGCCACGGAUGGGCAAACUGAGCGUACAAACCAAUGCCUCGAGACUUUCCUCAGAUGUUUUGUGCAUUCUUGUCCAAAGAAAUGGAGUUCAUGGCUUCCUCUUGCUGAAUUCUGGUUUAACACCAGCUGG
rnacentral:rRNA from 1 species